rnacentral:rRNA from 1 species
CCCUUAGAUGUCCUGGGCCGCACGCGCGCUACACUGAUGCAUGCAACGAGUUUAUAACCUUGGCCUGAAAGGUCUGGGUAAUCUUUUGAACGUGCAUCGUGAUAGGGAUAGAUUAUUGCAAUUGUUAAUCUUGAACGAGGAAUUCCUAGUAAACGCGAGUCAUCAGCUCGCAUUGAUUACGUCCCUGCCCUUUGUACACACCGCCCGUCGCACCUACCGAUUGAAUGGUUCGGUGAAGAUCUCGGACCUCGAUAUUUAUUCUUUAUUGAGUUUAUAUUGUGGGGAGUUAUCUAAACCUCAUCAUUUAGAGGAAGGUGAAGUCGUAACA